rnacentral:rRNA from 2 species
UCAUAGUGAUCCGGUGGUUCUGAAUGGAAGGGCCAUCGCUCAACGGAUAAAAGGUACUCCGGGGAUAACAGGCUGAUACCGCCCAAGAGUUCAUAUCGACGGCGGUGUUUGGCACCUCGAUGUCGGCUCAUCACAUCCUGGGGCUGAAGUAGGUCCCAAGGGUAUGGCUGUUCGCCAUUUAAAGUGGUACGCGAGCUGGGUUUAGAACGUCGUGAGACAGUUCGGUCCCUAUCUGCCGUGGGCGCUGGAGAACUGAGGGGGGCUGCUCCUAGUACGAGAGGACCGGAGUGGACGCAUCACUGGUGUUCGGGUUGUCAUGCCAAUGGCACUGCCCGGUAGCUAAAUGCGGAAGAGAUAAGUGCUGAAAGCAUCUAAGCACGAAACUUGCCCCGA